UAGUCCACGCCCUAAACGAUGCUAACUCGAUAUUUGGAUCUUGAAUCUGAGUGUCUAAGCGAAAGCGAUAAGUUAGCCACCUGGGGAGUACGUUCGCAAGAAUGAAACUCAAAGGAAUUGACGGGGGUCCCCACAAGCGGUGGAGCAUGUGGUUUAAUUCGAUGAUACGCGAGGAACCUUACCAGGGCUUAAAUGUAAGUUGCAUGAUCCAGAGAUGGGUCUUUCUUCGGACCACUUACAAGGUGCUGCAUGGUUGUCGUCAGCUCGUGCCGUGAGGUGUCAGGUUAAGUCCUAUAACGAGCGCAACCCCUGUUGUUAGUUGCCAGCAUGUAAAGAUGGGAACUCUAACAAGACUGCCGGUGCAAACCGCGAGGAAGGUGGGGAUGACGUCAAAUCAUCACGGCCCUUACGUCCUGGGCUACACACGUGCUACAAUGGUAGGGACAGAGAGCAGCCACACCGCGAGGUGGAGCGAAUCUAUAAACCCUAUCUCAGUUCGG
rnacentral:rRNA from 1 species